rnacentral:rRNA from 1 species
UACGGAGGGUGCAAACGUUGCUCGGAAUCAUUGGGCGUAAAGCGCACGUAGGCGGCGAAACAAGUUGGGUGUGAAAGCCCUGGGCUCAACCCAGGAAGUGCAUUCAAAACUGUUUCGCUUGAAUCUCGGAGGGAGUCAGAGAAUUCCCGGUGUAGAGGUGAAAUUCGUAGAUAUCGGGAGGAAUACCAGUGGCGAAGGCGCUGACCUGGACGAAGAUUGACGCUGAGGUGCGAAAGCGUGGGGAGCAAACAGG